GGGGGCGAAAGGUUUCGACAGGGAAGUUGGGGGCAAAGAGGCAUGUCGGGUUUCUGCCUUCCCGUAUCCAGGCAGAAUUAAACACAACUGCAGACUCUUACGAGUAUGCAAUGGCCGCUUAAUGCGGCCACAUCAUCUGGGCUUUCCUCCCGCUUCAGGCCCAGAAUGGUGUGAAGCAAGCGGGAUAGUCAGCCCGGACGCCUAUAUGGGCUGGCGAAAGAAAAUAGGCUCUGGAAGGGAAAAACCUGUCGGUGGGUGUUUCCCUUUCGAGACAAAAAA
rnacentral:tmRNA from 1 species